UACCAAGGAUAACUUACUUGCCCUUGGA
rnacentral:piRNA from 1 species